rnacentral:rRNA from 1 species
CCUACGGGAGGCAGCAGUCGAGAAUCAUUCACAAUGGGGGAAACCCUGAUGGUGCGACGCCGCGUGGGGGAAUGAAGUUCUUCGGAUUGUAAACCCCUGUCAUGUGGGAGCAAAUUAAAAAGAUAUUACCACAAUAGGAAGAGACUGCUAACUCUGUGCCAGCAGCCGCGGUAAUACAGAGGUCUCAAGCGUUGUUCGGAAUCACUGGGCGUAAAGCGUGCGUAGGCUGUUUCGUAAGUCGUGUGUGAAAGGCGCGGGCUCAACCCGCGGACGGCACAUGAUACUGCGAGACUAGAGUAAGGGAGGGGGAACCGGAAUUCUCGGUGUAGCAGUGAAAUGCGUAGAUAUCGGGAGGAACACUCGUGGCGAAGGCGGGUUCCUGGACAUUAACUGACGCUGAGGCACGAAGGCCAGGGGAGCGAAAGGGAUUAGAUACCCGUGUAGUC